CGCUCCUUUAUAUUUCCCGGGAUUUGCCAAAUUUCCAUUCAAGAGGAUUUUGAUGUCGAGGCAAAGCAUAUUGGUAGGAAAUGUGCGAGCCAGGGUUGGCAGCGCUGGACCUUCCGCUGCAUACGUUCGCCGACUCUGAACAGUACGAGAUCACUGAAAAAUUGAUUCUAGUAUUAUCUGAACUGGAUCAAAGCCCAACAAAAAAAAAAUCUGAAGGCAUUUACCUUGCUUUUUCUUCGACCUUGGAGCCAGAAUCUUUUCAUCUUCGAAUCGAUUGAAAUCAACAUUGCCAGUCUAAUUGGAUUACGAGGACCACAGAGAAGGGAUUCCAAAUAUUGGAGAACCGACAUUCCAGUACAUACAAAAAAUGCAAAGAAUUUAAUUUAUUUAUAUGUUGAUUUUAUGUCAGGUUACAUCAAAUAAGAACAAUCCAUAUCUAGUCCUGCAAAAGUGCUUUGCACCUCUGCGUGGACCAAAACUUGAUCGAUACUGAUAAACUACAAUAAUAGCUAUCUGAUACAGAUGCAGAUUGCACUCCUUCCACCUCGUAUGAUUGUCAAACGUGAUACGUUAUGUAAGAUGAUUUGUAAGCAUUUCGUUUGUGUUUGACUUGUAUACUCUUAGGCACCAUGUGGAGUUACUAUCCACUGAAACCCGAUCGCUUGUACUAGAAUUAAGGUGUACUUAAUAAACUGAUAAAAAAAUUCGAAUUCU